rnacentral:rRNA from 1 species
UGUCGUCAGCUCGUGUCGUGAGAUGUUGGGUUAAGUCCCGUAACGAGCGCAACCCUUGUCCUUAGUUACCAGCACGUAAUGGUGGGCACUCUAAGGAGACUGCCGGUGACAAACCGGAGGAAGGUGGGGAUGACGUCAAGUCAUCAUGGCCCUUACGGCCUGGGCUACACACGUGCUACAAUGGUCGGUACAAAGGGUUGCCAAGCCGCGAGGUGGAGCUAAUCCCAUAAAACCGAUCGUAGUCCGGAUCGCAGUCUGCAACUCGACUGCGUGAAGUCGGAAUCGCUAGUAAUCGUGAAUCAGAAUGUCGCGGUGAAUACGUUCCCGGGA